GCCCAGAGCUCUCCAUUGGGCGUCGUUCCCGGGGUCCCGCGCGCCGGCCGUGCUGAUUGGCCGCUGGGGCUUCAUUCACGGCCCCUCUAUCGUCCGCGUACACACUCACGCCCCGGGGGCGCGGCCGCCACGUGGGGAGUGGCGCGGGGGUGGCCCUGGGACCGCACCCCCUCUCGUCCUGGCUGUGUGGGCCCAGCUUUCCCCCAGCGCUGGAGACUUCGAGCCCGGCCGGUCCCACAUUCCACGCAAGUUGAAUUUCCGCCCGCAUCCCGCCCGGGCAGCCGGGAUCGCGGGCUCCGGGAGGCGCUCGGGCUCCGAGAAGCGGCUCAGCCCCGCGCCCCUCCCACCGCAGUACCGCUGCCGGCGGACCAGGAUUCCCGCGGGUCCUGGCGGCUGCGAGCGGGAGGCGGCGCGGUUUCCCGGCUCGGUUCCGGCGCGACUGCUCACCGCGCCCGCCCGCCUCUCCUCCCGCGGCUGCCAGCGCGCACCGGGCGCUCCUCGGCGCGUCUGCCUGGCCCGUCUCGGCUUUCCUUCUCCUCCCUAUAGUUCCAGCGUCGCAACUCCGCCAACCUCUGCUGUCCUGAUAGCGCGUCCGGCGCGGGCAGAGUCGGACGGACUCGGGCUUCACGCCUCGCGCGGGCACCCCUUCUCCCGGGCGCUGUGGCCCAGAAAAGAAGCUCCACGAGGGACAGGAAUAUCUGCGAGUAUAGCUCCCUGAUGUUUUCCAAGUGCCUGGAACAGUUUUGGCCCAUAGUAGGCUCUCCAUAUAUAUUUGCUGAAUGAAUGAAUGAACCUGCUCAUUUCUCAAUGUACUGCUUGUGUCUGCCAUCAACGUUACUGGAAUCUCAAUCCCAGUUUUGCCACCAAUCAGCUGUGCAAACUAUGGGCAAGUUUUCUAACUUUUUGGAGCCUCUGCUUCUUCAUCAGUAAAAUGGAAUAAGAGAAGUACCCAUCUCACAGGGUUUUAGGAGGAUGAGGUGAGCUCAUGCUUGUAAAGCACCUUGCAGGUGCUUGGGACAAAGCUGGUAGUCACUGAAUGUUAACUUGUUAAUGUUGCUAACCUUGGGCUCUCCUUAUCAGCCUUGAAGACAAAGCCAAGACUUCAGCUGGGAAAUGUUGACCUUGUAAGUGUACAGGGAUAGGUGGUGUACAGAAGUCUGAUCUGCAGAGGUCAUUAUUGGUUAAUGAGGAUAGAGAUCUGCUUUCAAGCCUCUGGCUAGAAUCCUUGCCUUGGGACAGCUCAACGUGUACCUGUGAGUGUACAUGGGUCUGCACAUAUGAUUGAAUAGAGCUAAUGUGAGCUACAUUCAAAGCUGUGCAUUCCUAAAAGAUAAUUGGUCCUAGGUAGUAGGCCCAUAUAGGAAGUCAGCCAUUAGCAUGGUCAAAAGAGUCAUCUUUCCUUCCUAUCUUCUGCUCGCUCUUAACCUCCUGCACGGGCUUCUUCCCCAUCGCUCCUCUGAAUGAACUCACUUCCCAAUAUCCAGUGACUUCUUUAUGGUCAAAUCCAGUGGUUGCUUACUUGACCUCAGCAACAAUACUGAUCACCACUCUCCAUCUUUACGUCCCGAAUUUGGGCACAAUGACUACCAUGGUAUGUCUCCCCAGCUUUCCUGCAAAGGGACUCAUCAAGGCACUGUGUUCUUCUAGUCAAUGAAAACAUCUGUGGCCAACAACAGUGUGAGUCUCUUCCCAAGAACUGCCUUUGGCCAAAUGGAACUGCCUCUCCCAAGUGUUAUGCCACCUCUCAAGAGUUAUACCGUUUCCCAAAGGUCACAACAUCUCCCUGGAGGUAGUUCAAAUUCAAUAACUAACUGGUAACUCUUGUUUCAUUUUGGGAAAUCUUUAAAGGGGCAUAGUUGCUCUAGCACUUCCCACCAGCCCUUGGUCAGCCCACAUUUACCUCUGUUGGCAAUACACCAGAGUUCAACCUCUCUCUCUGGCUCGCCUGGCUUCCCUUCCUCUUCACUAGUGUCAUGCCCGAAAUCUCUCCAAUAAGUCCUCUGCAUGCAAAUCUCCAUCUUUGAUCUAUUUCUAGGGAACCUGACCUACUACUACAGUUGGUGCUAGAAGUGGUUCCUAGGAAACAGACUCUAAAAUGGGAUUUUGGAGCUGGAUCAUCCACCGGCCAGUUGGUAAUAAGAACCUCAUCACUGGUGGUGGGUGGAGGUACCGAUAGCCCCUGGCAUGCUCUAGGGUGCAAUUGUUAAACUUUCCCUGAUGCGGAAGUGGGAUGGGAUACUGGCGAAAGGGAAAGUACUAAUGGGUGUAAUCUCUCAGACAGUAGAGAGGCUCAGAGGAGUGAUAAUUAUAAAGUCUACGGAAUUAAAUGAUUGUUGCUGGGGGCAAGCAAGGCAUUGGAAAGACAAUGAAAUGCUGAGAGUGAUUAAUCACCAAUUUAAGGUGAAGUGUGAAAGCUGAAGGGCCUCCUUGCUGUCAGAUAAAGUGACUGUCUCCCAAAGCUGGAAGGCAGAAAAAACUGAGGUUUGGCCCAGGAAUGAAUUGUAAGGACAGCAGAUUUCCAAAGAAAAUUGAAUUCUUGACAUAGCAAGUCAGCUCUGUUUGAUUGAUCAGGGCUUGACUGGGGGCUCUGACACUUAGGACAGGGACAUCUGGGUGGAUUCCCUUGAAUGCCUUGAAGCUCUAGGUCACCCUGAGCCCUCUGAGGCCAUGGAAUGUCCUGUGAAAGGCUUGAGCUUCCCUGGUGUGAUGGUUAAUACUGAGUGUCAACUUGAUUGGAUUGAAGGAUACAAAGUAUUGAUCCUGGGUGUGCUUGUGAGGGUGUUGCCAAAGAAGAUUAACAUUUGAGUCAGUGGGAAAGGCAGACCCACCCGUAACUGGGUGGGCACCAUCUAACCAGCUGCCAGCAAAUAUAAAGCAGGCAGAAAAAUGUGACAAGGAGAGACUGGCCUAGCCUCCUAGCCUCUGUCUUUCUCCCGUGCUGGAUGCUUCCUGCCCUAGAACACUGGACUCCAAGUUCUUCAGUUUUGGGAUUCAGACUGGUUCUCCUUGCUCCUCAGCUUGCAGCCAGAUUAUUAUGGGACCUUGUGACGCUGUAAGUUAACACUUAAUUAACUUCUAUAUAUCUAUCUCCUAUUGGUUCUGUCCCUCUAGAGAACCCUGACUAAUGCAGAUUUUGGUACCAGAAGGAGUUCUAGAGGAACAAAAUAUUAAGGAUGGAGUUCUUUCAUUGGUUUUGGGGUUUCUGGAGUUGGCUGGUUAAUAAGAUUCAACCCCAAAUGCUGACGACUCUACUUCUAAUCAUAUGGAGAACACUGAUAGUCCUUGGUGUGAACUGUUUAGAGGGCUAUGUAAAAUAAAUGCAUUUGACACUCCUCAUUUGCCACCUGUGAGAGGCAAGGAGCUCAGUGACUCUACACACAAUACCUUUCACCAUAUGUGCAGAACCAAAGAACAUAAUGAAGCUGGUUGGUUGCUCCUAAGUUCAGUAGACAAAGUUAUGAAAGAAAAUAGUGAACUCAGGAAUUCUGUCUCCUGGCUUCAAAAGCAGAUACUGAGCCUCAAAUCUGCUAAGGUUGACCUGAGUGAGAGUCUUAUCUCCUGUAGGGAAAGAGCUGAAAUUUUGGAAAAACAGACACAAGCUCUUAUCAUGUGAGUGGCUCACCUGCAAUGAAAGAUGCAUGCACAGCCUCUCCAGAUGUCUACUGUUGAAGCGAGGGCAUUGAUUGGAAGAGAAUGGGACCCUGCAACUUGGAAUGGGGAUGUGUGGGAGAACCUGAUGAAGCCGGAGACACUGAGUUUGUAAACUCCGAUGAACCCUUUCAGCCAGAAGGAACAGCUUCACCACCUCCAGUAGUGGCCACAUCCCCGCCCGGACCCACUGCCAUCAGCCUUUCCACCUUUGCCUGAGGAGAUAAACCCUGUGCUGCCUGAGGCAACAGGGAUGGCCUCCCCUGAGGGAGUUAUUUUGCCCCUGAGGCAAAAUAAUGUUGAUUCUCCUCAGGGGCCACCCCCAACACCCCUGUUUGCUUCUAGACCUAUAACUAAAGUCCCAGCGGGCCCCUGGAGGUGAGGUUGAGAGUGUGACCCAUAAGGAGGGGCACUACACUAGAAAAGAACUGUUUGAGUUCUCUAAUUUAUAUAAACAGCAAUCUGGAGAACAGGCAUGGGAAUGGAUGUUAAGGGUAUGUGAUAAUGGUGGAAGAAACAGAGUUGGAUCAGGCUGAAUUUAUUGAUCCGGGCCCACUAGGCAGGGACUCUGCAUUUAAUGUUGCAGCUUAACCAUAUUUGCUUGGUUAACUGAAAUAUGGAUUAAAAAAGAUGUCCCACUGUAAAGGAGCUGGAAAUGCCUGAUCUUCCUUGGUUUAAUGUAGAGGAAGGGAUCCAAAGGCUUAGAGAGAUUAGGAUGGUGGAGUGGAUUAGUCAUUUUAAACCUAUUCAUCCCAGCUGGGAGAGUCCAGAAGACACACUCUUGACCAAUGCCUUGUGAAAUAGAUUCGUGAGGGCAUCACCUGCAUCUUUGAAGAGCCCUGUAAUUACUCUUAUUUACAUGUGAGAUCUAAUGGUAGGAACCACAGUCAUUCAACUAAAAAAUUUAAAUUCAAUGGGAAUAAUUGGAUCCUCUGGUGGCAGGGGCCAAGUGGCAGUGCUCAACCGUCAAAGGCAAGGUGGCUGUAGCUACCACACUGGGCAGCAGAGGCAAAGCAACAGUCAGAGUGGUCUAAAGAAUCAUGGCCCCUCAAUCAAUUUACUGACUUGAAACCCAGAAAUAAAGGGGAGGGAGACCCAGAAGCUCUUAAAUAAAGGGGAGGCAGGGUCCUCUUGAGGAAGGACCCCACUACAUUACUGACAAUGUAUGCAGUGAAUCUUUCUCCCAUCCUUCCCCAAGGAGACCUCCAGCCUAUUAUCAGGGUAACUGUGCAUUGGGGAAAGGGAAAUGAUCAGACAUUUCAGGGACUACAGGACACUGACUCUGAGCUGAUGUUAGUUCCAGGGGACCCAAAACGUCACUGUGGUCCUCCAGUUAAAGUAGGGGCUUAUGGAGGUCAGGUAAUUAAUGGAGUUUUAGCUCAGGUCCAACUUACAGUGGGUCCAGUGGAUCCCCAGACUCAUCCUGUGGUCAUUUCCCCAGUGCCAGAAUGCAUAAUUGGCAUAGAUAUUCUUAGCAGCUGGUAGACUUCCUGACUGGUAGGGUGAGGACUAUUAUGAUGGGAAAGGUCAAAUGGAAGCCAUUAGAGCUGCCUCUACUUAGAAAAAUAGUAAGUUAAAAAAAAACAAUAUUGCAUCCUUGGAGGGAUUGCAGAGAUUAGUGCCACCAUCAAAGACUUGAAAGACACAGGGGCGGGGAUUCCCUACACAUGCCCAUUCAAUUCUUCCAUUUGACCUGUGCAGA
rnacentral:lncRNA from 1 species